UACCAUGGUCACCGCUUGCGGCCUCUUUGAAAUAUCUUUCGUCAUUCCCGAACAAUCUCUAUUAUCCACAGAAUCCCACCGCCUCAUACCACCUCCUUUCUCUGGUAUAGUCUACGCUCAAGAAAUCUUGGGCGUCUCCUGCCCUCCACCUACUCCAGCCUCUCUGAGUUUUACAAUCGUCGGCACCUACAAGCCCUAAAAGAACACCACCGAUCGAUUUUGCUCCUGCCCUCCACCGUGGGGGAGAUUGAUGCAGUCGUAGAUAGCGACUCCAAAACCCAAAUCGUAUUCCCCGUUAUUCCCCGUCCUCACCGCCAGAUUAAGCGAGGGAAGCUACCGGUACAUGCUUUUCGAAGCAUAUCCAAAAUUUCAACUGGCUUAUGCACAUCACGCGCCAAUCGCAGGUUGGAUAUGAAUUUUCGAAGAAAAUAUGUUCAGCCACACCAUCUGGGGUUUUGAUGUUAGAAGGGAAUGUAAUGUCCGAGAAUAUAGUGACGACAUGGUGGAAUGAAAUCUGGAUUUCCAAAUUCUGCUUCCAAACAUACCCUAAGAUUCUUAACUGAUACUUUUAUUCCUUACUUACCCUUUUUGCAAUUAAUCAUGACUGUUGUAGGUGCCAUUCUUCAACAUAGGGAUCAAUACAAUGGAUACAUUUUCACACGUUGGAGGCAAUUAUGCAGUAGGAAAUCCAGCUUAAUGAACUCCAACAUCAGGUUAUAGUUACCGGUCAAUGUGGGAAACGUAGUGAGAAAAGAGAGAGUUCUGGUAUGGUCUCCCUGUUGUGCCCAUAAGUAAAGAUAUUCAGGAAGGAAAAUCAUGAGAGGAGGAUUUCAAAGUGGAAAUCAUAUGUAGGAAACUAUUUUGUUGCAUAAACUGAUAAAUUGGAAAGUACAAUGCUAUAAAUGGUGAAUAAAUACAGUUUUAGCAUCCAAUUCAGGGUGGAAAAGAAACUAUUGUUCGUUCCUAGGAUGUCGUAACCGGAACUGGAACCGCUUUAUGUGAACAUAUGGAGGAAUUCAUGAUUCAAGGAGACAAUGAAGGACUUAAGUUGCAUAAAAACAACCAUUAGUCAGGCUGCAAAAGUUGUUAUUAGAAUGGAUGUUCCUAUAUCUAAAUGUGGCGAAGUUUGUAAAUAACAAUGGGUAUAUACGUAUUUUGAUUGGAUGACAUUUACAAUGAACAAACAACGGAAAACAAUUGUCCCCA